UGAAAGACAUGGGUAGUGAGAUGUUCGAUUUUGCGCUAUAUCUCACUAUUUUGUCUUUC
rnacentral:pre_miRNA from 1 species